GAUGAACGCUGGCGGCGUGCUUAAUACAUGCCAGUCGAACGAACGGACGAGAAUCUUGCUUCUCUGAUGUUAGCGGCGGACGGGUGAGUAACACGUGGAUAACCUACCUAUAAGACUGGUAUAACUUCGGGAAACCGGAGCUAAUACCGGAUGAUCUUUUGAUCCACAUGGUUCAAAAGUGAGAGACGGUGUUGCUGUCUCUUCUAGCUGCAUCCGCGCUGCAUUAGCUAGUUGGUAAGGUAACGGCUUACCAAGGCAACGAUGCAUAACCGACCUGAGAGGGGGAUCGGCGACACGAGAGCUGAAACACGGUCAAGACUCCUGAGGGAGGCAGCAGUAGGGAAUCUUCCGCAAUGGGCGAGAGCAUGACGGAGUAACGGCGCGUGAGAGAUGAAGGUGUUGGGAUCGUAAAACUGUGUUACUAGGGAAGAACAUAUGUGUAAGUAGCUGUGCAGAUCGUGACGGUAACGGGUCAGAAAGCCGCGGCUAACUACGUG
rnacentral:rRNA from 1 species